rnacentral:sRNA from 1 species
AGCCAAGGUAAGGACCACUGACUGUGCCUGACAGAAAGCUAGAGAACCUUCAGUUGACCUUAAUUUACACCGAAAUGAUUCAGAUUAAAAGAUGGAGUCUUACAUGGCCCUUCACGUUUCCCACAUGUAGAAGAGACUUGGUUUUCAUGUUGGUUGGUUCCUUUAUUGGUGUUAUGUUUCUUCUGUUUCUUCUCUGUUUCAAUUGAAUAUCACCAUCCUUUCUCCACAGGUAACGGAAGGCCAUUGGAAAUGGGGCGGCGUCACAGUCCAAGUGAACAGUGCCUUUUUCACGGGCAUCUAUGGGAUGUGGAAUCUGUAUGUCUUUGCUCUGAUGUUCUUGUAUGCACCAUCCCAUAAAAACUAUGGAGAAGACCAGUCCAAUGGCGAUCUGGGUGUCCAUAGUGGGGAAGAACUCCAGCUCACCACCACUAUCACCCAUGUGGACGGACCCACUGAGAUCUACAAGUUGACCCGCAAGGAGGCCCAGGAGUAGGAGGCUGCAGCGCCCGGCUGGGACGGUCUCUCCAUACCCCAGCCCCUCUAACUAGAGUGGGGAGCAUGCCAGAGAGAGCUCAAUGUACAAAUGAAUGCCUCAUGGCUCUUAGCUGUGGUUUCUUGGACCAGCGGCAUGGACAUUUGUCAGUUUGCCUUCUGACGGUAGCUUUUGGAGGAAGAUUCCUGCAGCCACUAAUGCAUUGUGUAUGAUAACAAAAACUCUGGUAUGACACAUUAUCUGUGAUCAUUG